GACGAACGCUGGCGGCGUGCUUAACACAUGCCAGUCGAACGGUGAAGCGCCUUCCUUUUUGGUGGGUGUGGAUGAGUGGCGAACGGGUGAGUAACACGUGAGUAACCUGCCCCCUUCUUCUGGAUAACCGCAUGAAAGUGUGGCUAAUACGGAAUAUUCUGGGUCUGUCGCAUGAUGGGUCUGGGAAAGAUAUUGUUUCGGUGGGGGAUGGGCUCGCGGCCUAUCAGCUUGUUGGUGGGGUGAUGGCCUACCAAGGCGGUGACGGGUAGCCGGCCUGAGAGGGUGGACGGUCACACUGGGACUGAGACACGGCCCAGACUCCUACGGGAGGCAGCAGUGGGGAAUAUUGCACAAUGGGCGCAAGCCUGAUGCAGCGACGCCGCGUGAGGGAUGGAGGCCUGCGGGUUGUGAACCUCUUUCGCCAGUGAAGCAGGCCUGCCUCGUUUGUGGGUGGGUUGACGGUAGCUGGAUAAGAAGCGCCGGCUAACUACGUG
rnacentral:rRNA from 1 species